GAUGAACGCUGGCGGCGUGCCUAAUACAUGCAAGUCGAGCGACCAGACGAGGAGCUUGCUCCUCUGACGUUAGCGGCGGACGGGUGAGUAACACGUGGAUAACCUACCUAUAAGACUGGGAUAACUUCGGGAAACCGGAGCUACUACCGGAUAAUAUAUUGAACCGCAUGGUUCAAUAGUGAAAGACGGUUUUGCUGUCACUUAUAGAUGGAUCCGCGCCGCAUUAGCUAGUUGGUAAGGUAACGGCUUGCCAAGGCUACGAUGCGUAGCCGACCUGAGAGGGUGAUCGGCCACACUGGAACUGAGACACGGUCCAGACUCCUACGGGAGGCAGCAGUAGGGAAUCUUCCGCAAUGGGCGAAAGCCUGACGGAGCAACGCCGCGUGAGUGAUGAAGGUCUUCGGAUCGUAAAACUCUGUUAUUAGGGAAGAACAAAUGUGUAAUUAACUAUGCACGUCUUGACGGUACCUAAUCAGAAAGCCACGGCUAACUACGUG
rnacentral:rRNA from 1 species